GACGGAGGUGCCAAGCGUUAGGCGGAAUCACUGGGCUUAAAGCGUGUGUAGGCGGAGUUCUAAGUACCUUGUGAAAUCCCACGGCUUAACCGUGGAACUGCUUGGUAUACUGGUUCUCUUGGGCCAUCUAGGGGUUACCGGAACAAACGGUGGAGCGGUGAAAUGCGUAGAUAUCGUUUGGAACGCCAAUGGUGAAAACAGGUAACUGGGGAUGUGCCGACGCUGAGACACGAAAGCCAGGGGAGCGAACGGG
rnacentral:rRNA from 1 species